CAGGGAGCUGGCUGACAGCUCAGAGGAGCAACAGAGCUAAGUGGGAGCUGCAGACCACCACAGCAGGGUGCCAACCUCCUUUCCUCCGCCUGAAGGGACUCAUGCCAGAAGGGAUGAAGGAGGCACCAUAUGCUUGGCACAGCCUGCUUGGCUCACUUCGUUUUCAAUGAGCUGCUGUCUGGAGAACGUGGGUGUGGUCUCUCAGAGACUGUGCAGAAUGAGAUGCAUCUCUUGUCCUCAGCAGAGGGAAAGACACAAAGAAAGAAGAAAGGUGUAUCCUAUAACUGUGUCCCCACAGAGUCCCUGCAGUCCAGCCCAGCCUCUGCACCUGGUACACAUCUGCUUGGAACUACCACUCAUCAUCUUCCCCAGUCUGGGGUGUGGGUCGGAGAGCAAGUACCAGGCAACCUGCAGUUUCUGCACCCGGACCACAGGGCACCCUCAGAAAACCAGCUCUCCAGGAACCCAUCAGAUGGGGAAUUGUCAACUGCCAGAGGCUGAGCCAGAGCCACUGAGGACAGGAUCCAGGGAAUGCACACCACAACAGGAGAGGUCCCCGCAGCAUUCCUCUCCUGCCCAGCAGAGUUUGACCUUCACCAUGGAAGGAUAAAGUGGAUGCUGUGUUUCUCUUAUCCACUUUCCUGAAUGGAUGAUUUUUUUAAAAUUGUGGUUAUUUUCCUUCUACUCCACAUGAAUAAAUCAG
rnacentral:lncRNA from 1 species